rnacentral:rRNA from 1 species
AGCGAACGCUGGCGGCAGGCCUAACACAUGCAAGUCGAACGAAGCCUUCGGGCUUAGUGGCGGACGGGUGAGUAACACGUGGGAACGUACCUUUUGGUUCGGAACAACUCAGGGAAACUUGAGCUAAUACCGGAUGAGCCCUUAGGGGGAAAGAUUUAUCGCCGAAAGAGGGGCCCGCGUUAGAUUAGCUAGUUGGUGAGGUAAAGGCUCACCAAGGCUACGAUCUAUAGCUGGUCUGAGAGGAUGAUCAGCCACACUGGGACUGAGACACGGCCCAGACUCCUACGGGAGGCAGCAGUGGGGAAUCUUGCGCAAUGGGCGAAAGCCUGACGCAGCCAUGCCGCGUGUAUGAUGAAGGUCUUAGGAUUGUAAAAUUCUUUUACCAGGGACGAUAAUGACGGUACCUGGAGAAAAAGCCCCGGCUAACUUCGUGCCAGCCGCCGCCGUAAAAC